UGAUCACUUUGCAAACUCAUACAUCUGUCACCUUUAAACGCUUCACUUUCUGAGGCCUCAUUCUUUGAAUAGAUGUAAACUAUAGCCAUGUACAACAAUGUCAAGCUCGUCUGCUCUUUUGUCCACGGACUGACUCUUCGAGCUACUUGAGAAACUGCAAGCCGCUUCUGGUGUGAGAGAAUUGGCCCUCUGCAAGGAUGUUGCCCAGGGGAUGCCCGGAUGUUUUGAUGUUUUACCAUCCUUGUGGGAGGCUUCUCUCAUAUCCCUACAUGGAGCUGGAGCUGACAGAGAGAGCUCAUCUGUGCUCUCCCCCGGUUGGAAUCGAACUGGAAACCUUCAGGAGGUGCCUUUAUAAUACACUGAAAACAUUAAAAAAGAGAUUCACAUCUGCAGAAAGCAGCACGCAUCAGAUUUCCACAUCAUUUUGCCUGUCUGUAGUAAUAGACAAAUGAGAAGUAACUGCACUUACAUGAGCAGGUUGUGGCAAUACUUGUGCAGCCUUCCCUGCAUGGAGAACUGAAUCAUUUAUGGGUCACAAUCCAGGCAUUCCUCUUCAAAAAUGAUAGAUGAUGUUCAUGCGUCAACUGAGUUACUAACAUCAUUGGACUGGUAGAUACCAGCUAUUUUAAUGGAGAAUUAACAACGGAGUCCAGAAAGUAAGACUAUGUUGAUUGUUGUUUUUUUUGUUGUUUUUUUUGUCAGGUGUCUUCAGGUCACAAGCUUAUGGUGUUGCUAGACAAAAACUAGACAACUAAUGGCCUUGCUGAACAAGUUGUUAUUCUUCUGAUUAGUACACUUUCAGCAAGAUGCAAAUUUGAAAAUGAAAGAAACAUGUAGCAAAGUGAGCUAGAUCUUUUACAAAAAAGUAUUUUCCUUAUAGUCAAAGGCCUAAAGGAAAAGUCUUGUAUUAUUUACAGAACACCUACUGCUUCGAUUUAGUGAAUAUGGAGAUCUUGCUGGGUUAGAUAUUAUGUUCCCUUCUAUUUCUUUGAAUUAAUCAAUGAAAUGGGUCUUAACAUAAAGAAAAAGCCUGGCAAACACAAGUAUUUCUGCUUCUAUGGGAUAAAGUGUUUAUAAUUCCUUCACAUUUUUCACAUCAUAAACAGAGUUUGUAAUAUUUAUGCAUUUAACUAAUAUGUUGGAACCUGUUAAGAAUGCAGAAAUUUAGAAACUUGCAGCUCAAGGGCUGAAUACUCUUGGGGGUGUCAAAUAAAUAAACAAAUAUAUCUGUUUG